GUGCACAUUUCAUUGUCUUUUUUUCUUUAUCUUAAGGGAAAAGAUAUUUCUGAUGUGCUAAAUAAAUAAGCCUUUGGAGGUAAAUUAGCAGCAUGGCUAAUUUAGUCAUUGCUGUCAGUCACCUUCAGACAAGC
ensembl:snoRNA